CCUACGGGUGGCAGCAGUGAGGAAUAUUGGUCAAUGGGCGGGAGCCUGAACCAGCCAAGUCGCGUGAGGGAUGACGGCCCUAUGGGUUGUAAACCUCUUUUGCCAGGGAGCAAGGUGCCGCUCGUGUGCGGCUGGGAGAGUACCUGGAGAAAAAGCAUCGGCUAACUCCGUGCCAGCAGCCGCGGUAAUACGGAGGAUGCGAGCGUUAUCCGGAUUUAUUGGGUUUAAAGGGUGCGUAGGCGGACGCAUAAGUCAGCGGUAAAAUUGCGGGGCUCAACCCCGUCCCGCCGUUGAAACUGGGUGCCUUGAGUGGGCGAAGAGUACGCGGAAUGCGUGGUGUAGCGGUGAAAUGCAUAGAUAUCACGCAGAACUCCGAUUGCGAAGGCAGCGUACCGGCGCCCAACUGACGCUCAUGCACGAAAGCGUGGGUAUCGAACAGGAUUAGAUACCCGAGUAGUC
rnacentral:rRNA from 1 species